UUGGGCCGGAAGCCCUCUUCCGGUACUGCGCCCCCCUCCUCAAACCCACCGCAAAUCCACGAGCCCCCACCCCACGCUGCCCUGUGAGGAAAGACAUUUUUAUCGGAGGAAACCCCGCCCCCGGUGAGAGUUCGCUUUUCAUUGGUAGAGGUUGGAAGCGGAGCUACGAUCCUCAAUAUUUCAACCAAUGGCUGCCUGUGGAUUUUUUUUUUUUCAGGUUGUUAAAUCGGUUCCUCCUCCAGGCCAGCAGAGGGCGCAAUCCUGGGAGAGGCAGAGGCGCGAAGCCUGGGAGGCUCCUGUGUGCGGAAGUAGCGUCACGCAACCGGAAAUUUAUGGUUUGGAGGGCCGUGUUGUGGGGAUUCCGGCGGGCUGAGAAGCUCGCGAUAGCCUUGGCCUGCAUCUUUCAGCAAGUUUCUCCACCCAGUAGAGGCCGCUGCUAUGAUUGCGCACCUGCAGGUGGGUUUGUUUGCCACUGGUAGACUGCAUGUUCCUGUGACACAACAAGCUCUAUUCAAAGGUUAUGAAAUAGCCUUGAAGAGAAUGAAACAGGAGAGAGGCCUGAUCCUCCCAAAAAGUUCCACCAGAUAUGGUAGCAUGAACCUGUAGUCCCAGCUACUCAAGAGGCUGAGGCAGGAGGAUCACUUUUAAGGCCAAG